AUUGAACGCUGGCGGCAGGCUUAACACAUGCAAGUCGAGCGGAGAUGAGGUGCUUGCACCUUAUCUUAGCGGCGGACGGGUGAGUAAUGCUUAGGAAUCUGCCUAUUAGUGGGGGACAACAUUCCGAAAGGAAUGCUAAUACCGCAUACGCCCUACGGGGGAAAGCAGGGGAUCUUCGGACCUUGCGCUAAUAGAUGAGCCUAGGUCGGAUUAGCUAGUUGGUGGGGUAAAGGCCUACCAAGGCGACGAUCUGUAGCGGGUCUGAGAGGAUGAUCCGGCACACUGGGACUGAGACACGGCCCAGACUCCGACGGGAGGAAGCAGUGGGGAAUAUUGGACAAUGGGCGGAAGCCUGAUCCAGGCAUGCCGCGUGUGUGAAGAAGGCCUUUUGGUUGUAAAGCACUUUAAGCGAGGAGGAGGCUACCUGGAUUAAUACUCUAGGAUAGUGGACGUUACUCGCAGAAUAAGCACCGGCUAACUCUGUGCCAGCAGCCGCCGUAAGAC
rnacentral:rRNA from 1 species